ACUCCUACGGGAGGCAGCAGUGGGGAAUAUUGCACAAUGGGCGCAAGCCUGAUGCAGCAACGCCGCGUGAGUGAUGAAGGCCUUCGGGUCGUAAAGCUCUGUCCUCAAGGAAGAAUAAAUGACGGUACUUGAGGAGGAAGCCCCGGCUAACUACGUGCCAGCAGCCGCGGUAAUACGUAGGGGGCAAGCGUUAUCCGGAAUCACUGGGCGUAAAGGGUGCGUAGGCGGUUUUUCAAGUCAGAAGUGAAAGGCUAUGGCUCAACCAUAGUAAGCUUUUGAAACUGUUAAACUUGAGUGCAGGAGAGGAAAGUGGAAUUCCUAGUGUAGAGGUGAAAUUCGUAGAUAUUAGGAGGAACACCAGUGGCGAAGGCGACUUUCUGGACUGUAACUGACGCUGAGGCACGAAAGCGUGGGGAGCGAACAGGAUUAGAUACCCUGGUAGCACAGAG
rnacentral:rRNA from 1 species